GGGCGCCCGCCUCCCGCCCGCCGUGGCCACGCCGCGCCGCGUCCGGGAAGGCCCAGCGGAGGCUCCGGGGAAGGCGACACCAGCAGGCGGCCUGGCCGGCGGCAUUGAAAUGGGCGUCCGCUCCCCACGGAGCGCGGGAGGUCGUAGCUGCAGCCGGACGAGCGCUGGCACCAGCCGGGCACCGCGCAUGGAUCCCGCGUGCGCACUGUCGCGGUCAUGGCGUCCCGGGCCGGCACCGCGGCCUCGGCUCCCUGCUCUGCGGCUCUUGUCUCCAGGGCGGCGUUGGGUUCUGAAUGUUCCAGUUCCACAGCAGCCAGACGCGGGAUGCCCAGGGACGGCCUGACGGCAGCGCUGGCUGCGGUGCGGCCAGGGCGCUGGCGUGGCCGAGGCCAUGGUGGUCGUAUGUUCCAUGGACACCAUCAAGGUGAAGUUCAUCCACGGCCAGACCUUCCCAGACCUCCAGUGCAGAGGAGUCUCCCACCAGGUUAGAGAGAUUGUGCGAGAACAAGGGGACUCACCGGGGCCUCAUGGCACCCACGCUAAAGCAGGGCUGGAACCAGGCCGUCUGCUUCUCCUCCUGACCUCCCUGCACAGCUGGUACCGAGGGGACAACCCCAGCAAGCCCAUGGACCCGCUGGUCGCUGGGGUCUUCGGAGCCAUUGUGGGCGCAGCCAGUGUCUUGGGAAACGCUCCUCUGGAUGGGAUCGAGACCGGAUGCGGGGCCUGGAGCAGCACAAACGCGGAACACACCGGCCUAUGGCUGCAGAUCCUGAGGAAGGAGGGGCUCAAGGACCUCUAGAACGGCACUGUCCCCCGCCUGGGCCGCUGGACCGCGUCUCCCUGGAUGUGACCAGGGAUAAGGGUAACAGUAUUUAUCCUCUACCAGGAGGUGGAGAAGCUGCACAACAGUGUGGAGGAUGGACUAAGCCCAGAGGGGUAAUGAGGGAACCCCCCAGGCACCUCCAGAGCGGCCACCACCCUUGUCUCACAUGAUUCCAGCGCAGAAAUGCCAAAAGGCCCCUGCCCACGUCCCUCGAGCUCUGUGGCCUGCCCUGUGCAUUGUGGUGUCACGUCCAUUUGUCCCCUAGUGCCAUGUCUCCCCGUGGUCUGUACGUGACACUGCGCCUGUGUCCACGAGUCUGGCCCGGCCGUGGCUGGAGGUCCAUCUGGCCUGUGAGUCUGUGCCCACUUGUCCAUGUGCUUAUUGUGAGCCCUGGGCCUGUGAUUCAUUUUCUACGUCAUGCGACACUGCGCCCCGCCUCCCGGGGUGCCAGUGUGGCCUGAGUCCUUGGCCCUGUCAUCCCGGCCCGGGCCCAGUCCACUGCCUUCCACCCUGCCCUGGCCUACCACAGCUGCCUCUGGGCCUCGGCCUGGUUUCACUGCAUUCUUGGGGUUACACCCCUGAACCCCAAAUUCCACCCCUCACCAGCGCUUCUCCUACCAUUGGCUUGACUGGCCCACGGCCCCUCCCUCUGCCCAGGAGAGGGUGACACCCACCACUCUCAGGAUCACCCUGCCAAGGCAGAAUAAACCGGAUCCUAUUGUAAAAAAUAAAAAAUAAAUAAAAAGUAUGAAGCACAGAAGAAAAUAAGCUACGAGGAAAAAGGGUUAGAAGAUUUUUCUUUUUGAGACAGAGUCUUGCUCUGUUAUACAGGCUGGAGUGCAGUGGCCCGAUCUAGGCUCAAUGCAACCUCCGCCUUCCGGGUUCAAGUGAUUCUCCUGCCUCAGCCUCCCGAGUAGCUGGGGUUACAGGCAUGCCUCACCAUGCCCAGCUAAUUUUUGUGUUUUUAGUAGAGAUGGGGUUUCACCAUGUUCACCAGGCUGGUCUGGAACUCCUGGCCUCAAGUGAUGGGAUUGCCUCUCCCUCCCAAUACAGGCAUGAGCCACUGUGCCUGGCCCGGUUGGAAGAAAUUUGAUAUCACAUAAACUUUGCAUACUGGAAAUAUAUUUGUAAUAUUUUAAAUUUUAAAAGUAUUAUAAAUAUAUUUAUAUUUGUACAUAUUAAUAUAAAAUAUUAAAUUUAAAUAUUUUAAAUGUUUAGGUAAAAACAAUUGAGGAAAAGAUGAUAUCCAAAUAAUUUUUGAAAGAGCAGGAAACUAUAAACUGAAUGAGGAAAUUUGGAAAAGAGUCAAAUAGAAAUGGAAUAAUUUAAACAUAAAGAAAUUUAAUAUACGAUAUGUGAGUUAAUUAUAAAAUUAGACUACGUUGAUGAGAGAAUUAGUGAACUGGAUUAAUGAACUGAAAUUUUGAGCAGAACGAAUAUAACCAAAUAAAAGAAAGAGAAACAAAAUAAUAGUAAUAUGAAUGUAAUUAUACAUAUGUGAAGAAUAGAAUGACAAAGAAUAAAGCACAAUUAUUUCACUUGAAUUCAUACAAAUAAUAAGUCAUACUAAUAAAUAAUUAUUUACAAAUUUCUAAAAGUAAAAACCAGACAUGUGCCUAAAAGAGACACUGUGCCUGAAAGCAAGCAAUAAAGAGGCUGGGUGUAGUGGCUCACAUCUGUAAUCACAGCACUUUGCGAGGCCAAGGAGGGCGGGUCACUUGAGGUCAGGAGUUGAAGACCAACCUGGCCAACCAGGUGAAACCCCGUGUCUACUAAAAAUACAAAAAAAUACAAAAAACUUAGCCGGGCAUGGUGUCAGCUGCCUGUGAUCCCAGCUACUCCGGAGGUUGAGGCAGGAGAAUCCCUUGAACCCGAGAGGCGGAGGUUGCAGCGAGCCAAGACUCCAGCCUGGGUGACAGAGCAAGAUUCCGUCACCAAAUUAAAAAAAGAAAAAGCAAUAAAGAAAGAUAUCCAACACCAUAAGUCAAACUGCAUAACACCAAAGAGAAUGAAGAAACUUCAAAGCCAUGAGAGAGAGAGAGAGAAUCUACACAUGUGAGAGUGAAAUCUCCACAGCCCAGGCAGAGCCAGAAAACUGAGAAGGAAAUAUUAAGAGUGCUGAAAAAUUAUUGUUCAACCAGUAACUGAAUACAUAGCUAGCAUAUAUUUAAUAAAUAAGGGUAAACUAAAUAACCUUCAGAAGUAAAACACACACACACACACAAAGAGAAAUUUUAUCUACCAACAGGAGCAUCUUAAGUGUACACUUCAAGAAGAUAGAAAAGUUGUCUUAUAUAAAACUUAAGGGAUCAAAAUUAAAUAUAAGAAACUUGUGGACACAGGGGACUAUGACGGUGGACUUUAAAGAAACCACCAAGUUCUUGGCAGCAUAGUUUUCAAAAGUAUUUAGAUGAAAUAAAAGUGUAAUAAAAUAAUAUAUAAAA